UGUAGCGCGUGAUAGAUUCGAUGUUUGUGUAUACGUACAUCGGCGACACGUUAAAACUCUUUACCAUUCAAGGUUUGUUUAUCGCGUUAAUUUGCGAAAUGCCAUCACUAGCGGAUAAUAGCUUUUAUGCGCGCGAUGAUCGUAUCGUUUUUUUCGCGUCUGUUUUUCCAACUUAAUAGCGUAGUGCGCGUCGCGGUCGCGUGUGAUUAACGGUAUCGUGUAAAAUAUCGCACUCCGUCGUAUUUCGGGAUGAUCGUAACCGAUUAUGUUGUCGCGUGCGAGGACCGAUGAAGGACGCGACGGCGUGGAAGCGGCCCAGGAAGCCCUCGGGAUGAGUAAUCACCAUCGCGAGAUUGUUCUAGUCGUAUUUGUCAUGGCCGUCCUGGCGGGCGUCUCGGCGCAGGAUUUCAGGCAUUUUUUCGCCGGAUUUGGUCCUUAUGGUGACUUUAGGGCCGCACUAAGGGACCCGAGAUCGAAUAGGGGUCCGGUGUUAUUCCCACCUGGGCCGCCACCCAACACAGCUGACAGCAGCGGCGUCGUCGUGGGCGCGAGCGGAUACGGAUUCGUGCCACCCAGCGCAGGUUACUUUACCUACUUCUACUACUAAACGUCCGGCAAUCGGGGGACUGCAGGAAGACGACAGCGCGAAGAAAAAAAUGGUAGUCAAGGUUUCGGUUGUCACGACUCGUAGACUACUAACUGGACAUUGUGGUAGACUAGUAGAUCAGCGUUACAUGGUGGUGCGUGUCCAUUGAAGGAAGGACGAGCCUUAAAAGCUAAACUGGAGCCGCGCGUGUUUGGCAGCUUAGAGAUUCGAAAGCGCACGGAGAACAUCGAUACACAGCUCGACUUGCCAUGGAGUAGAAUCAUCUGCGAUUUCAAAUAAGGUAAAAAUAUUGCAGUUUAUUAUAGUGAGAGAAGAAAUAUAUUUUAUGGAAUAUGAUUAUUCCAUUUUAUUAUUGUCUCGUUGAAUCUACAGAGAUUAAUGACGAUUUAGAUUUUUAUAAAUCAAUGUGUUAAAUUAAAAAAAAGUAAAAGACAUCAAUUUUAUUAUCUUAGAUAUCAA